rnacentral:rRNA from 1 species
UACGUAGGUGGCAAGCGUUGUCCGGAUUUACUGGGCGUAAAGAGCGCGCAGGCGGUCGAUUUAGUCGUGUGUGAAAGCCCCCGGCUCAACUGGGGAGGGUCACGCGAUACUGACCGACUCGAAGGCAGGAGAGGGUAGUGGAAUUCCCGGUGUAGUGGUGAAAUGCGUAGAUAUCGGGAGGAACACCAGUGGCGAAGGCGACUUCCUGGCCUGUUCUUGACGCUGAGGCGCGAAAGCUAGGGGAGCAAACGGGG